rnacentral:rRNA from 1 species
AGAGUUUGAUCCUGGCUCAGGAUGAACGCUGGCGGCGUGCUUUAUGCAUGCAAGUCGAACGGUCUUGAUUUUAUCAAGAUAGUGGCAAACGGGUGAGUAACACGUAAGUAACCUGCCCUUAAGUGGGGGAUAACUCCGGGAAACUGGAGCUAAUACCGCAUGUGGUGACAGAACACAUGUUUUGUCUCUAAAGUCUUCGGACGCUUAGGGAGGGGCUUGUGGCCGAUUAGCUAGUUGGUGGGGUAAAGGCCUACCAAGGCGACGAUCGGUAGCUGGUUUGAGAGGAUGACCAGCCACACUGGGACUGAGACACGGCCCAGACUCCUACGGGAGGCAGCAGCAAGGAAUUUUGUGCAAUGGGCGAAAGCCUGACACAGCGACGUCGCGUGGGGGAUGAAGGCCUUCGGGUUGUAAACCCCUUUUCUCAGGGAAGAAUAAUGACGGUACCUGAGGAAUAAGUCUCGGCUAACUACGUGCCAGCAGCCGCGGUAAUACGUAGGAGGCGAGCGUUAUCCGGAUUUACUGGGCGUAAAGAGGGCGUAGGCGGCUUUAUAAGUCGGAUGUAAAAUCUCCCGGCUCAACUGGGAGGGACCAUCCGAUACUGUGGGGCUAGAGGGCAGCAGAGGGAGGUGGAAUUCCCGGUGUAGUGGUGAUAUGCGUAGAUAUCGGGAGGAACACCAGUGGCGAAGGCGGCCUCCUAGGCUGUUCCUGACGCUGAGGCCCGGAAGCGUGGGGAGCGAACAGGAUUAGAUACCCUGGUAGUCCACGCCGUAAACGAUGGAUACUAGGUAUAGGGAGUAUCGACCCUCUCUGUGCCGAAGCUAACGCCUUAAGUAUCCCGCCUGGGGAGUACGGUCGCAAGGCUAAAACUCAAAGGAAUUGACGGGGGCCCGCACAAGCGGAGGAACAUGUGGUUUAAUUCGAUGAUACGCGAGGAACCUUACCUGGGCUUAAAUGCAGAACGACAGAUACCGAAAGGUGUUUUCCCUUCGGGGCGUACUGCAAGGUGCUGCAUGGUUGUCGUCAGCUCGUGCCGUGAGGUGUCGGGUUAAGUCCCAUAACGAGCGCAACCCUUAUUGUUAGUUGCCAGCGGGUAAUGCCGGGGACUCUAACAAAACUGCCGGUGUAAACCGUGAGGAAGGUGGGGAUGACGUCAAAUCAGCACGGCCCUUAUGUCCAGGGCUACACACGUGUUACAAUGGCCAGUACAAAGAGCAGCGAGAGGGUGACCUUGAGCAAAUCUCGUAAAACUUGUCUUAGUUCGGAUCGAAGUCUGCAACUCGACUUCGUGAAGUUGGAUUCGCUAGUAAUCGUAGAUCAGCAACGCUACGGUGAAUACGUUCCCGGGCCUUGUACACACCGCCCGUCAAGCCAUGGAAGCUGGGGGUGCCUGAAGUCUGUAACCGAAAGGAGCGGCCUAGGGUAAAACCGGUAACUGGGGCUAAGUCGUAACAAGGUA